GACGAACGCUGGCGGCGUGCUUAACACAUGCAAGUCGAACGGAAAGGCCCUGCUUUUGUGGGGUGCUCGAGUGGCGAACGGGUGAGUAACACGUGAGUAACCUGCCCUUGACUUUGGGAUAACUUCAGGAAACUGGGGCUAAUACCGGAUAGGAGCUCCUGCUGCAUGGUGGGGGUUGGAAAGUUUCGGCGGUUGGGGAUGGACUCGCGGCUUAUCAGCUUGUUGGUGGGGUAGUGGCUUACCAAGGCUUUGACGGGUAGCCGGCCUGAGAGGGUGACCGGCCACAUUGGGAAUGAGAUACGGCCCAGACUCCUACGGGAGGCAGCAGGGGGGAAUAUUGCACAAGGGGCGGAAGCCGGAUGAAGCAACGCCGCGUGCGGGAGGACGGCCUUCGGGUGGUAAACCGCUUUCGCCGGUGACGAAGCGGGAGUGACGGUAAUGGGUAAAGAAGCACCGGCUAACUACGU
rnacentral:rRNA from 1 species